GAUGAACGCUAGCGGCAGGCUUAAUACAUGCAAGUCGUGGGGCAGCAGGACUGUAGCAAUACAGUUGCUGGCGACCGGCACACGGGUGCGGAACACGUACGCAACUUACCCUGAACUGGGGGAUAGCCCGGGGAAACCCGGAUUAAUACCCCGUAAUAUAAUGGAGUGGCAUCACUUUAUUAUUAAAGCUCCGGCGGUUCGGGAUGGGCGUGCGGCUGCUUAGGUAGUUGGUUGAGGUAACGGCUCACCAAGCCUACGAUCAGUAACUGGUGUGAGAGCACGACCAGUCACACGGGCACUGAGACACGGGCCCGACUCCUACGGGAGGCAGCAGUAAGGAAUAUUGGGCAAUGGAGGCAACUCUGACCCAGCCAUGCCACGUGGAGGAUGAAGGCCCUCUGGGUGGUAAACUUCUUUUAUAGGGGAAGAAACCUGUGUAUUCUUACGCAGUUGACGGUACCCUAGGAAUAAGCACCGGCUAACUCCGUG
rnacentral:rRNA from 1 species